AAGAAGGGACUUCCGCCCGUUCCUCCUCAUCCACGCCCGCACGCCAGCCGUUCACCACAGCACGGGCGGGCCGCCCAUCCUCCCGCCGCCUCCCGCCGUUCGCCGCCCGCAUCAUCCUCCGCCCCCGGUCCAAUCAUCCUCCGCUCAGCUUGGCCUCCCCCCAUCCUCCCGUCGUUCGCUAGCCGCCCUCCCGCCGUUCGCCGCCUACCGCGCCAUACGCCGUUCGCUAGAGAUGCGGGCGGGCGGUUGGGCUGGCGAGCGGUGGCAGGUUCGUCGCGCGACGGGUCGCCUGGGAUGCCAGCCGAUGGAUGCGGGUCAAGCCGACUCGGGCGGCGGCGCAUCUUCGGGAGAGGAGAGGGGAAGAGAAGGAGAGUCCUGGCGGCGGCUGAGGAAGUGCUCGCCGGCGAGCGGGCUCCGACGGCCGCCUGGCGCGCGGGGUUGGAUGGGGACGCUUCCCGGCGGCCGCGGCCGUCCUCGCGACACCACCUACCCGAAAGCAUCGCCGCUCCCGGCCGCCAGCCGACGCGACGUCGCCUGCCCCUCCUACCCACGCGACGAUGUCGCUCCCCGCCUCCUCCCCGCGCGACACCACCUUCCCCAAGAGUGCCCACCCCAUCGUCCUCCUCAGUGCCUCCCUCUCGCCCGCCCGCAACGCCUGACACACGCACGGCCCACACUGGAGCACGCCGCCCCUCGCUGCCCGGUUUUCUUCUUUUCCGUCGCACCGUGCGAAAUCUGCCCCGUGCUCGGUCUGGAUCUACAUAAGCGGUUGAGAGAGAGAGCACAAGGAAGACGCACACUGUGGAUUGUGGAAGAGGAAGAGGAAAUGUUGUUGGAUCUAAGCACCUGUGGGAGGAGCAUAAGCAUAAGGAGGCAUCCAUGAGACAAGAUUUUUUUAAUUCGUAUUUCUAUGUCUGCCUGAUGACAUUAGUUAACUGGUAAUAGUAAGUCAGUACCAUACAUCACUGAUGAAAUAGUUGUUUUUUCCCAUUUAGCAAAGAAAUUAUGAUCUGUUCCUCUACCAAUAAUUGUAAAUUAGUCAUGACACCCAGUCUAGCAUCUGUCAUGUUGUUUGAUUUGUCUCUCUCUAUAUAUAUAUGUUCUCAUGAGUGGUCAUCCUUUUACAUGACGAUUUCCAAAAUACGAAUACACUGAAAGUUAAUUUGAUUUUUCAUAAAUGUGUCCAAUUUUGGAUGUAUAAAUUAAUUUUUAAUUUGGCAUCCCAUUCCAUGCCAAGAAUCAAAUGACAAGCUGAAUUUGUUCCUCUGUAAUGGGGUUCAGUAGCUUCUCUCUCCUGAAUUAUUCUUGUUGUAGUUUCAUGGUUAUGCAAUUAUCAAUCUUCUCUUACUCAUUUCACGUGUCCAUAGUUAGCCAGGCAACUGAAGGUGGGUCAUGUAUUUUAGCACAGGUUCGAUGUGGCGGUUGUCAACUUAUUCCAACUGUGAAGAAUGGUAGUUGUUGCCGGAUGAAUUUCUAGUCUCGCAUCUCCUUAUUUCCGGUCUUGCACCAUGGACGCCUUGAAUGGCGUUGAUGCGUGCUUCUUCGGAGGAGGGCCAUGUGAUGGCCAGACCGGCAGACAUAGCCAGCAUUUCGACGGACACAAACAGAGACGGCCAUGGUGCUAGCUGAUAGCACUUGCUAACUUAAAAAGUUUGCAUACCUUUUAUCGAAUUAUAUGAGAGUUUCUUGCCAACUAUUGAGCCUACCAGUUUUAGAUCUAUGUCACUAAGGCCACUACUCAACUUCAGGAUAUGCGGUACAAGGGAUUCGAGGCAGAUUGAGGAAGGAGCCGGAGCAGGUGGUGGAUUAAGGAAGGAGCUGGAGUAGAGACGGAUUAGAGCUGCUUAAGUGCAGGAUGGAAGGGAACUUAAGUGCAUGUUUUCGGAUUGUAUAUGAACUAAGUUCCCGCUGAAAAAUGGUGACCGCGUUUAGAGCUGGCAUUGGUGCUUGGUCAGACAUUGUGUCUUUGUAACUACACUAAGUUCCCUGGUUUCUGCUUAAAAAUGUUUACAAGAUGACAUUUCUAAAUAUGACCUAGAAGCCCUCAAACCAGAUCAAGCUCGGUACAUUGGAAUCAAAAGAAUGACAAGGUUCUAACUGUGUUCACAUGAUUUUGAACAGGCCCAUGGAGAUAAGCCCUAAUGUGCACCCAAGGUUCAGGGAGGUGAUCCAGGUUUCCAAGAAGGUUACAAGGUUAGUUGCUUAUGCAAUUCAGUUCAAAUGUAGCUUGUUGCUGGAAGGAGUAGAGUUUGAUUAGAUCGGAUCAGGAUUAUUUUGUAUUUUGGUAGUGGUUAACUAUGGGAUAUGCACCUGCCAUUUUUCUAUGCAUAUUUUUCUGUCCAUGUAUGUUGCAUCCUUUUGACUUAUGUAUGAUGUGUUCAACGAUGUCAUUGGUGACUCAUGUGAAGUUGCUUUGUUUGAUUCAAGUGUAAUUGGACCGUGGCAGCCAUGGAGGAUAUAUGCAUGAAGCCAUGAGUAGUGAGCAGCUUACCUAUUUAUUAUUGUUGGCCUUUUCAGUUGGAUUUAGUAUAGCUGCCUCUCAGAUGAUGAACAGAGACUAACAUUAUAUCUUUAUUCUUGCAUCUUACACCCUUAGCUUGAGAAAAACAAACCUUAUCAUUUUCAUUUGUAGAAUUAAUAUCAUUAUUUAAGGGAUCAGUUGGCACUGAUGCCUAAAAUGUGUUGUUUUUUCGCAUGCUUAAUUGUACACAGCUAGGUAGACAUGUGUAAGUAUUUAGGUUGAUGCACAAGUCAAUUUACAGUAGGAUUAUGAGGGCAAUCAACUGAGCUCCAACAACCAUCAAACUGAAUACUUAUGUUUGUUGAGUUUAUGUUAAUAAUCAUACUUGAGACCUUAGCAAAGCAAUCUGUAGAACUUGUAGUGAAAGCAAGGCUUAUCAUUCAGGUUACUUGUAAUGACCUGUGACAGAAAAGCAAUCUAUAGAAAUUCUGUUUGCGUGAUCCCUAUGCCUUCUCUAUAUGGUGUUCCAUCUAGGUUAACUGUUGUGAUGGAACCUUUCAAGGAUGGUUUAGUCUGGUCGAUCUUAUCAAUGUAAGAGGGAAAGUAUGCAUUCCAGAUCAAUGUAGAUGUCAAGCUGGAAUAAAAACAUUCAAUAGCUUCUCAGUAUGGACAUUGUUCUAAUGAUUACAUUACUUCCCCAUGGUUUUAGCUUGUCACAGAUGGAGAAUCAUCAUCCAGCUACAUCUCCCUUAGAAUCAGGGAAACGUUCUCCAUUUAAAGACCAAACAUGCAUAAUCUAUUUAGAGUUUCAGUUUGUUUUUUGUCUGACAUCUCUGUUGCCUCUGUUAUAUUACUACAUUGCUAUUAAAACAAGGAAGAAUGGCCUGAUGUUGCCUUUGAAUCUGAUUGUCGGGUACUGGUGGAGAUGUGGAACUCAAAAAAACAUAAUAGAUAGAGAUUAUCGGCUUCCUGGCAGAAAUUGAGUUGAGCCAAGCUUUUUGUUCUUUUACUCUGUCUUUUCUUCUUAGAGAGGUUAAUUUUUAGCACACCUAUGUACAAACCUGCCCUGCAGGUUAGGGACAGGAGGCUAUGUCGUAAUUGUAAUGCUAGCCCUUCAGAAUAAAGCUAGCUCCUUUGAUUGUCAAAAGUGGCCCCUUAAAGUUGUCCACUUCAGAAUAUUGGUUCAAUGCCAUUAAUUUUUUUAUGUGAGAUAUUUGUUUUGUAUUUUAGUAGUCGUUCAAGUGUGAGUUAUGUUUAUUUGUAACACGUAAUUGACUAUC